ACAGAGCCUUUCCACCUUUCCAAGGUGAGAGAAGCAGCCAGCAGCCUCCCUGCCCUGGUCCUGCAGAUUAAAGAAAUCCCUUCCUGCCCACAUCUUUUGGCUCUUCAGCCAGGAAGCAGACAAGCCUUGCUUUCUGUGAGCAAUCUGUGUGAUCAUCAGUAGACACCUGCAAGACAAGAGGAGCAGAACCUGUUGGGCAGCUUUAGCCAAGCUGAGCCUCCUUUCUGCUGCUGGGGCAAAGAAACGCAAACCAGUAGAACCAGUCUGGCUGCAAGGAAAAAUUAGGGCUUAUUGUCUGUGCAAGUUCACCCACACUGCUCACUCCUGUCUGCCGUGUCCCAGAUGAC